UAACAGGCCCGCAAGGGUGCUGACGAGUGGCGGACGGGUGAGGAAUACAUCGGAAUUUGCCCAGUCGUGGGGGAUAACGUAGGGAAACUUACGCUAAUACCGCAUACGACCUAACGGUGAAAGCGGGGGAUCGCAAGACCUCGCGCGGAUGGAUAAGCCGAUGUCGGAUUAGCUAGUUGGCGGGGUAAAGGCCCACCAAGGCGACGAUCCGUAGCUGGUCUGAGAGGAUGAUCAGCCACACUGGGACUGAGACACGGCCCAGACUCCUACGGGAGGCAGCAGUGGGGAAUAUUGGACAAUGGGGGCAACCCUGAUCCAGCAAUGCCGCGUGUGUGAAGAAGGCCUUCGGGUUGUAAAGCACUUUUAUCAGGAACGAAAUCUGCAGGGUUAAUACCCAUGCAGUCUGACGGUACCUGAGGAAUAAGCACCGGCUAACUUCGUGCCAGCAGCCGCGGUAAUACGAAGGGUGCAAGCGUUACUCGGAAUUACUGGGCGUAAAGGGUGCGUAGGUGGUCGUUUAAGUCCGUUGUGAAAUCCCUGGGCUCAACCUGGGAAUGGCAGUGGAUACUGGACGGCUAGAAUGCGGUAGAGGGUAGUGGAAUUCCCGGUGUAGCAGUGAAAUGCGUAGAGAUCGGGAGGAACACCAGUGGCGAAGGCGGCUACCUGGACCAGCAUUGACACUCAAGCACGAAAGCGUGGGGAGCAAACAGGAUUAGAUACCCUGGUAGUCCACGCCCUAAACGAUGCGAACUGGACGUUGGGAGCAACUUGGCUCUCAGUGUCGAAGCUAACGCGUUAAGUUCGCCGCCUGGGGAGUACGGUCGCAAGACUGAAACUC
rnacentral:rRNA from 1 species